CCUCUACUUCUUUUACAGCUACUCCUCCGGGACACACAUACACACACACACACACGCGCAUCACUCAACGCAAGCAAUAUACUAAGCGGAAAGACAAGCAAGCAGGCAAGAAAAGGGGAAACAAGGAGCAAGUCGACUGCAGCCCUCGGAACGCCCUCUUUUCUCUCUGCCCGUCGAUCCUCUCCUUUUAUACAGGCUGUGUAGAGGCGCAAAUACCCGAGAGUUGGGCACAGAAUGGGUCUAUGCGCUCGUGAGCACACGUAAAGAGGGAGAAGUGCCGCCAUCGGUGUCCUCUCUUCAUCUUAUCCUUUUUUUUUGUUCUCCGAACGUCCUUUGCUCGCUCCGCCGUGCCUGCGUGCGUGUGUGUGCGAGAAACUACAUCAUCGUCUUUUGGAGGGCAAGAGGCGAUAGCGGGCAGGCCAAACAAAGAAAACGAAUGCAAAUAAACAAACAAACAUACCCGAAACUCCCCUCCACCUUUUUCGAUUUUUUUUUUGCCGAGUGGCUUUGUUUUUCUUGCUACGCCGUUGUUCUUUUCAUCCCUUCCCUUUCCCCUUCCUCCCCUCCCCUUUUUGUGUUGUUGCCUUCUCCGCUCCUCCUCGGCACGCUAAUCUCUCCUGCUUUCUCGUUUCAUGGGUGAGCUUCUUUUUUCUCUUCGUGUUUCUUUCGUAUUGGCCCUGAAGUUUUUUUUUCUGUGAGCUUCCUCUUACCUCUCCCUCUCUCGACUCUGUGCGGCUUUUUAACCCUUCUCUCGCUUCUGUCUGUUUGUCGUUCCACAACUUUCCCCUUCGCUCCUCCCUGUCGCUUCCGCCGCUGCUACUCCGACUUGUCUUUCCGUGCCUUCUGGUCUUACUCCCGUUUUUCCAGCGCUUUUCUCGUUUUCCUUCGUCAGGCCUCAGUCCAUAGCUCUACCCUGCCUGCGCGUGCUUCUACGUGUGCGAGCUCGAAUAGCGUGCCGCAACAUAAUCUCACGAUCAAAUCAGUCCAGAGAAGAAAACGGGUUCCGACUGAAGAGGGCUCGUUUGGGAGAGAGGAAGGAGGGGGCUGUGACGCGUGGGCGUGUUUCUGCGUCUGUGUCUGCGCGCCUUCGAUACUUUGAACGAGUAGGAAGUGAAAGGCCCAGAGCUACCCACACGAGGCGCACGAGGAAGCCCCGCAGAGCUGAACAAGUACACGGCUACGGGUCAAUACCAAAAGAAGCAGAGUAGGAGAGGGCGUUAGCAGAGUGUGCUCAAGGACGCGGGAGCGUUGUGCUGUAGAGUCCUGACGCAUAGCCCACGCGCAUUUUCUAAGCUCCUCGGCUAUGGCUUUUGAGGUAGCUUGCGUUGUCCACGCUGUUUCUCACUGCUCCACCACCUCCCACUCCCCCUUCUUUCACAGCACUCACACUUUUAUCCACGCCGUGAGCUUGGGGUGUUCUUUUUUUCUUGUUUUUUUUUUUCUUGUGUGUGCGUCGUGCAGUGACCACGCGUGCAGGCCCCAGCAACCUUUUUCGCUUCUACCCCACCACUGCCUUUUUUUUCCUUUGGUGCUGCACACAUCUCCCCUUUAGUCCCCUCCCCCUGCAACCCCUAUCUGCGAGUGUCAGUGCGUAAGGAGAGUUGCACCUGCGUCAUUACCCACUUUUUCCAAGUGUCUGCAGUAAAGUAUAGGCAUCGCAGCGGCGCAUACACUUGCAGGCACUCCCUCCCCAAGUGGCGCGCAGGUGCUCGAGGGACUAAAUCUAAAACCGGAGAGGUCAUCUCCCCUGCAAUUGAAGCAGGAUAUACAAACCUGCUCUCCUCACCUUCCGUACCUCUUGCUUUUCCUUGUUUCGCAUUUUUUUUGCCUUUCCACUUUCGCGUGCGUGUACGCUUGUUUGUUUCUGCGCUCUUUUGGCUCUGUUUUAGUUUUUCGUUUUGGCCUUAAUCGAGUUUCGGAGCUCGUUGUUGCGUGCGUGGCCAGUUGUCUUCCACGCCACCGCCCUCUUCCUCCUCGUCCCAAGACAAUCCCUCUGUGCACUCUCCAUACUCACACCGGCGACAGGGCACGAGUCGAAGACGGCCAACGGCGAGAAGAGGACGGACACAAGUCUACGUCUGGCACACAAGCAAACAGCAGUGCCGGGCGCAAAGCGCAGACAAGCCAGCCGGUGCGACUCACGCCUGUUCUCCCCUCUUUCCGCACCCCGCGCACUGACGGAAGGCAACAACACCGAGGGAAACUCUUGCCUUUCGUUUUUUUUUUUGUUCAAUUCCAUCGUAAAUAUCUUUUUACUUGUUGUGGCUUAUCUGGCUUUUGUGGUUUCUUCCGUGUUGACUGGGGCUUGCACCUAACCGCGCUCUGUUUCUUUCGUGCAGGCACUUUUUUUGUUUUCUCGCCUUUUUCUGCCCUCCCCCCUCCUCCGCCUUUGCGUUUGCCUCCCGUGGUGUUUCCUUCAUGGGUUUGCUGGGUGCCAUCUGCGUUCUCCCUUUGAUCUUUAUUUGUUUGCUGUCUGCGUUUUGCUGUGCUGCCUCUCCUGGAAGCCGCGCCACCGCCGCUUUCCCUUCGGUCUUUUUAGUGUGCCAGUUUCUUUAUCCCUCCCCGUACUCCACGUCGGGGACUGACAAUGAAGGAUCAUGUGCUGUUCACUGGCGCGACGUCAAACGCAUUUGAGCAGUCGGCAAACCCGCGGGGUGUGGCCGAUGAAGUCACCUCGGCACGCAGCUACUAUACUAUGAAUAGGCCGUACCCCAUGCCCUGCGCUGCCCGGAAAAGAGUACUUCCAGAGUCACUGUCCUCUGAGACACACCGCACAGUGGAGACGCUAACUGCGGGUUUCUCGCGUCCACAUCGACUGCUCGCAGAGAAGCCUCUGGCGGAUACGGCAGAGCCGCAGCGCAUGCUGGUACCUGUGGAUGCCACCGGCACCCCUCAAAUGCUGCUGAUGCCGUCUCCCAAGGGCACACCCAGGCUUUCGGCCACCUUCGCACAUUUGUCUCGAACUAGUACCGCGAGUGAGACGGCGCUUAUGUUUGAGUCGAGUGUGGUAAAGACGAAUCCGGCUCUCCAUCCACCAGCGCAGAAUGUGCAUGAGCUGCCUAGGACGGAGAUCACCACGCCGCCCUUUUGCGUGAACCGCGUGUUCGCUGACCGGCUGCUUCAGUAUGGGCAGACGUUACCGCCGGCGCAUCGGCUGCAGAAUCACCACGUUUCGCAGACGAGGACGUCACUGAAGCCAAAAGAUGCGGACGCGUCGGCGACGCUGUGGAGCGAGGCUGCAUCGCAGGCGGAUGUGCUUGCCUUCUUCGGCUCUCAGGAUGACGUAAAGAAUUUGGCGGCGAGCUCGUCACUGCGAGCCAGCCACAAGGCCCCCGUCAGCAAGGAGUUGUCUUGGACUGCCGUUGAUGCAGCAACCAACAGCUUCUGCGACAUCUCCUUUAGCGACUGCAUCUUUUCUGCCGCGACCACUGUGACGGGCGUGCCACAAGUCAGCGGCACUCUCCGUGGUCACGUGAUCGACCCACAGGCAGUGCUAGGCUUUCACAGAGACGGAGCACGACGCCAGCGCAGGAUUUCAAAGGCUGUCAGAAAUGCAGAGCCUCAGUAAAAGAUGUCGUAGCUUGCAUCGUUUUCUUCCUCUGCGCAUCCGGGCUUCCGACUUCGGCGAGGCACGUGUGCAUCCUGCGCCCUCCCCCCUUGCAUACGUGCGUGCUCCCUCGUGUCGCUUCCUGUGGAGGACUGUCGCGCAGCGUUGACGCUUCUGUUAAAGAAGUGGGAGCGCCGUCUCGCAGAGUCGCAUUCACCCAUGACGGGCUCGUGUCGCUCUUGCGGGUCUUUCUUCUAGGGCGCUUCUUUUUUCUCCCGCAUCUUUCCGUUUCCUAGACCUGUGCGAGAUUGAAGCGCGCGUCUAGGUGGGCGCGUCCGUGGCGCAACUGCCUUGGUGCUAACGCGCCCAGCGUGCCCAUGUCUACACCAACCUUCACAUAUAGAAUAGGUGCGCCCGCGUGUAUGUACGCCUAUGUAGAUCUUCGCACCUGUAAGUGCCUUGCUCUGUGUGCCACAUCCAUCUGCAACAGCGUACUUGUGCACACCCUGUAUCAUACUCACACUCGGUUUGGUGGAUUACUUUUUGUGUGCUUCUGUUCUCCAUGUUUCAUCUUUUAGUUCACUUUCCACGUUCGUGCUCCAGGUCGGAAGGCCACCAAAGGACACACAAAGGCAAGUCAAGAGAAGCAAGGAGUAGCCCUGCCCUUCGCACCCCCACUUCCUUCCUUCCCAUGUCUUCUCUCUCGAGGGACUCGCAAAACCCUUUUAGAGGAGGCAAAUAGAAGGACUCGCAGAAGCAAUGCCGCAACGGAAACGAGUGCACACCUAACUCAGUUUGUAACCCAGACCACUUUUACGUUGCUCACCUUUGCGGCGUCGUCUCUCAUGCUCCUUUAUCCACCUUCUCUUACCUCACGUCCUCCUCUUCUGCUUUGUAUACCCCCUUCUCCCCUGUGACAUCAUUAGCUGCUCACUUUUUUUUUUCGUCUUGUUUUCCCGUUUGCUCGAUGUUCUUCUGCCCUCGUCUUCUCCCCCAGCUCCUCUUACCUCCCCCUUCUCUUGUGUAGGAUCCCUGUACUUGCAUACCCACACAUGUGCGCUUGUUGUUUUCGCAUGUGUGUGUGUGUAUGCUGUUCCUCUCUAUAUCUUUUCUUCCGUAUCGCUUCUUUCGAUUGCUUUUUUUUUUGUUCGUUCUCUGGCAAAGUGCUUACCUCGUAAAAGGACUUCGAGGUGGGCUGAUGUUGUUUGGCUCGUGUGCGCGCGUGUGUGUGCACCGGCUACACCCCACCUUGUUGGUGUCUUUCCAGCUCUUUUUGUUCUUCUUUCUGCUUUGGCGUUUUUCCUUUCUUGCGCUUCUCUCCCUUGUAUCUCUGUGCUUUUCUUUCACGAAACCUAUGUGUGGCUUCCCUUCUCGAGACCACCGACGCCCCUUUCUUCUUUUCCCUUUCGAGUGUUUCACCAUGGUUUCAUCCUCCCCCCUCUCUCGCUCCGAUUGUGUCCUUUUUCCCCUCCUUUUCCUUUCACCAAGCAUGUGACUAGUGCUUCUUUAACCUUCUCUCACUUGUCCUUUCUUUCUCUCCCCCACCGCCUCGCCCUUUCGGAUCUCGCCUCCCUCUUUCUGUGCUUGUCAGCUGUGGAUCGGCGAGUACGUGAGCGUGGUGCGCUUUCCUUUGAGUCGUCUGAGCUCGCUGGCUGUAGCCCUGUAAAGGCGCCUAUUCCUCUACUCGUGUACUUUUCGCUCACCCCCUCACUCUCUUCCUGCUUCCGUUGUAUAUUUAAAUAUUUGCACACCCCUCCUUUUCUGCACUCACCUGUGUUUAGAGCUCACCAUCUUUAGGUAUCUCUGCGUCGGUGUGCUUAUACUCAUCUGUUCGCCUCAUUUGACCUACUUACCCCGCCGCGCUUCAAAAAAUGUUGGUUUCUUGGUUGUCACUCGCGCAUUCGAACGCACAGUCAUGAGCGCAUACUCGACAUACACUCCCGUGCCUCUACCUCUGCCUCUUUUUCAUGCAUUUGACAAAACGGCGGCGCCUACUUCCACCACCCUUUCUACUGGAAGCUCUCUGAUCCCCCUUCCUCAUGUGCGUCUGCUCCUUCUUGAUCGUCAUGUGCGUUAAGUCGUCUUUUGCUCUGUUUUAUGUGCACACUUCCACCACCACCACCUCUGUUCGCUUUCUUUCUCGCCUUUUCUUUCUGGAUGUGCUAUCUUUACCGGCUGUGCGUAUGUGUGUUUGUGUGUGCUCCGGGGCGCAUUCAUGAUGUACAGUUUUACAUGUAUGCAUAUAUAUAUAUAUGUCUGCUGUACUACGGCAACAAGAAAGAAAAGCAGAGGAGAUGGUGCGAUGUAUCUCUCUAUCGUCAGGUGUUUUGUUUCUCUCCUUCUCUUUCUUUUCCCCUCUCCCCUACCCCCUCAUCAGUGCGCUCAUUUUUCUUUUUUUCUUCCUUUCCUGCUUUUCAUCGCGCGGGGGGGGAUUUUCUCUGUUUUAUAAAGAACUCACCUUUGGUGUUGGUGCGCGUUUCUCUCUUCUUCUUCCCUCCCACCCCUUUCUUCACGCGCGCUGUGUGCGCGUGUGUGUAUGUAUGUAUGUGUGCUCUCUUUCCUCGUCCCCCGCCCGUUCGUGUUUCCGCUACCCCCUUUCCCCCUUGUCGCUGCUGUUGUCUAUUUCUUGUUUUGCGCUCAGUCGCCGUCCUUUUUUUUCUUUCUGUUCCGUGUGUGUGUGUGUGCUCUUUUUUUUUUCGGUUGUUCGCGUCCUCGCUGGACUUCGGGUAUGUGGGUGCCUGUGCGUGUGUGUAGGCACUUCCCUGCCUUCGCAUCUCUCUCCGUCUUGCUCUCGCUUGCUUUCGCUUGCUCUCGCUUGCUCUCACUUGCUCUCACAGUUCUUCUGAAACGGUGAUCAAUCCCCACAUGAGCCUCCGCAGGAGAUGUCGCGCCGUUUCAGCUGUAAAGGAGCUGGCGCAGAGAUCGAAGGAGAGGGGAUAGUGCGGCUGAAGCGAGGGAGAGAAGGAGUGAAGAGCUGUGAGCGAAGAGAGCUGCACCUUUCGUUUGACAAUCUCAAGGCCGAGGGACAGCGGCGCGGCGAGGCAUUGGCGACAGGGAUUUUUUUUUUGUGCGUACUGGUGUCGAGAGAGGGGGAACUUUGAUGCGUCUGUGUGUAUGCCUCUGUUAGGGUGCGUUGGUUUCUACCCCCAGCCACUGCUGCUGGGCUUCACCCAGCUCAUCUUUUCAUCACCGUCUCUUUUCCCCCCAUUCCCUCUACUCCGUCUCACUGCAUCUCGAUUCGCUUUCCUCCCCCGCUCGCCUUCUCAUGCCUUCAAUAUUAUCUCGAGUUCCGAAAAAAAAAAAUAUAUUUUCCUUCUUUUUUUUUCUCCUUUUCAAAGUCCGCGCCAGCGUUUUGCUCUCGCUGCUUGCUUCACUCCCCUUCAUCUCCUUCCUCCCGCUAACUUGGAAGCCACGUGAGUGUGCAACUGGGCUUGAGCUCUUUUCUUUUGCUGUUUUACCUUUCCACGUCCUUCAUUGGCUACCCCUCUCUCUGCUGAUCUACACACUGCUCCUACUGUGCGCGGCAUCCUCACUGGUUUCCUGUUGUCACUCCUCUACCAG
rnacentral:misc_RNA from 1 species